rnacentral:rRNA from 1 species
UACGUAGGGUGCAAGCGUUGUCCGGAAUCAUUGGGCGUAAAGCGCGCGUAGGUGGCCAUUUAAGUCCGCUGUGAAAGUCAAAGGCUCAACCUUUGAAAGCCGGUGGAUACUGGAUGGCUAGAGUACGGAAGAGGCGAGUGGAAUUCCUGGUGUAGCGGUGGAAUGCGCAGAUAUCAGGAGGAACACCAAUAGCGAAGGCAGCUCGCUGGGACGUUACUGACACUGAGGCGCGAAAGCGUGGGGAGCGAAACAGG